AUUGAACGCUGGCGGCAGGCCUAACACAUGCAAGUCGAACGGUAACAGGAAGCAGCUUGCUGCUUCGCUGACGAGUGGCGGACGGGUGAGUAAUGUCUGGGAAGCUGCCUGAUGGAGGGGGAUAACUACUGGAAACGGUAGCUAAUACCGCAUAAUGUCGCAAGACCAAAGAGGGGGACCUUCGGGCCUCUUGCCAUCGGAUGUGCCCAGAUGGGAUUAGCUUGUUGGUGGGGUAACGGCUCACCAAGGCGACGAUCCCUAGCUGGUCUGAGAGGAUGACCAGCCACACUGGAACUGAGACACGGUCCAGACUCCUACGGGAGGCAGCAGUGGGGAAUAUUGCACAAUGGGCGCAAGCCUGAGGCAGCCAUGCCGCGUGUAUGAAGAAGGCCUUCGGGUUGUAAAGUACUUUCAGCGGGGAGGAAGGGAGUAAAGUUAAUACCUUUGCUCAUUGACGUUACCCGCAGAAGAAGCACCGGCUAACUCCGU
rnacentral:rRNA from 1 species